rnacentral:rRNA from 1 species
AUUGAACGCUGGCGGCAGGCCUAACACAUGCAAGUCGAGCGAGCGGCGGACGGGUGAGUAAUGUAUGGGGACUGCCCGAUAGCGGGGGAUAACUACUGGAAACGGUGGCUAAUACCGCAUACUAUCGGAUAACCCAUAUGGGAUUAGCUAGUUGGUGGGGUAAAGGCUCACCUAGGCGACGAUCCGUAGCUGGUUUGAGAGGAUGAUCAGCCACACUGGGACUGAGACACGGCCCAGACUCCUACGGAGGCAGCAGUGGGGAAUAUUGCACAAUGGGCGAAAGCCUGAUCCAGCCAUCCCGCGUGUAUGAAGAAGGCCUUAGGGUUGUAAAGUACUUUUGGCAGGGAGGCGUUAUCCGCAGAAGAAGCACCGGCUAACUCCGUGCCAGCAGCCGCGGUAAUAC